UGGAAGCUGUAAUAAGUAGCCUAGUGUAUAUAAAAGAAUUUUUAGAACAAUGCUAUUAAUUGAUUUAGGUUAUUGAAAAAGAUAUUGCAAACAAAUAAAAACAAAAGUCAAUCCUAAAAAUUAUGAGUAGUAGAAGUACUAAUAGUAGUUGCAAUCAAUUAUCCACUAAUGACAAAAGAAUAUAAAUAGUAUUCGGGUGUACUUUUACUGCUUAGACUUAAGCCCCUUGAUAAUAAAAGAGAAAGGAAAAAGAGGACAAAAGCUUUUUCAAAAAAAAAGAAAAAGAAAAAAAAGUAAUAAACUACACAAACCCCAAAAUCAGAUCUAUCUAUCUCCACCUCUCUCUCUUCGCCCAUCCAGGUUGAACCCUUGCCUUCUCCCUUCUCCCUUCUCCUUGGCCGCCGCAGCCCCUCCUCCCCUUAAUUCCAUCAUCAGUUCUGAGGAAUGAUUUUUUGUUGUUCUGGAUACCUCUUAUUAAUCGGAGGAGGAAGCAAGCCACAGGGAGGAAUGAUUUUUUGUUGUUCUGGAUACCUCUUAUUAAUCGAAGGAAGAAGCAAGCCGCAUGGAGGAAUGAUUUUUUUGUUGUUCUGGAUACCUCUUAUUCAUGCUAAUCGGAGGAAGAAGCAAGCCACAGGGAGAGAUGAUGUACGACGGCUUGGAUCCGUAAGAUCCCCAAAUCCAACGAGGAUCUGUAAGAUCCCAAUCCAACGAAGGCAGGCAGGCACACCAACCUUAGAUCAGAGAAACAGAGAAACAUAGAAGCAACAGAGGUAAAUUUGACACAAACUACUUUGUUAGCUAUACCAUCUGUUACAAGUCAAAUUAUGCAGUCAUAGAAAACUACACAAAAAAACCUAAUCCCAUAUGCAUCACUCUCCUGUCUCUCUCUCGCCCUCCUUCCAGCUCUCCUCUAUCAGUCGUUCGUGCUCCGAUCUCUUCACAAGUUUUCCACUCCACUUUGAUCCCCAUGGUAGUCUCCUCAUAGCCGCAAACUCCCAAGUCCUGUUUUUCCAAUCAAAUUUACAGCACCAGUUAGUGGGAUUCACAAAAAUACAUUAUAUGAAAAUAAUUUAGUUCAUGUGGGAGAUUUUUCUACUUACUCUCUCGGAAGCAGAACCCAUGCCCCGAAACUCUCGAUCCCUAGCACGUCUUUCCCCUUCUCGACGAGGAUAUUGCCAUCCUCCCUGCCCUCUCUGCCGUAUGAAUCCCGUAGCAUCCAGAAUCGUUGACCUUCAUCGGUCACUCCGUGACCAAUGAGAACUAAGGCAUGGAGGCCACCUCCAACACCGCAAUAACUGCAAUGCACUCUAACAACGUGUCUAAAAUGGGGACACUCGGAGCUGGUGCAUAUCUGCUCGGGGACCUCCUGCGGUCCUACGAUCAUCCCCUACAAUGCAUAAAAGAUGUUUUGAUUAGAAUUUUUAUUUCUCGAAACCUUUAAAAAAGAGAGGUUUGCCCAACUCACUCUUGUGUCAGAGAAUACAGGGUGGGAUGCUAUAGCGACAGCAAUCGGAUACUUGUCUAGCAUCCUCUCCAUCUCGCUCUCCCCCUGGAUAUGGUGCCAUAAUCCGAAGUAUAUCCACUGGCUGAUAUGCUAGAAAUGAGAAAAUAGUUACAAAGUGAGUAUUUUUGUGUUUAAACUAUAGAAAACACGAUUCUAGUCCUUAAAAAUAAUUUUCUUUUUGAUCAA